rnacentral:rRNA from 1 species
CCGCCCGUCACACCAUGAGAGCUGACUGUACCAGAAGUCGCUCGGCUAACCCGCAAGGGAGGCAGGCGCCUAAGGUAUGGUUGGUGAUUGGGGUG